rnacentral:rRNA from 1 species
CCGGGCAAAUUGACACCGUAACUUCGGAAGAAGGUGUGCCCUAGUAAUGUGAAGUGAACAACGGAGCAUGAACGGGUUGCAAAGAAUCGGUGGCUGCGACUGUUUAUUAAAAACACAGCACUCUGCAAACACGAAAGUGGACGUAUAGGGUGUGACGCCUGCCCGGUGCUGGAAGAUUAAAUGAUGGGGUGCAAGCUCUUGAUUGAAGUCCCAGUAAACGGCGGCCGUAACUAUAACGGUCCUAAGGUAGCGAAAUUCCUUGUCGGGUAAGUUCCGACCUGCACGAAUGGCGUAACGAUGGCCACACUGUCUCCUCCCGAGACUCAGCGAAGUUGAAAUGUUUGUGAUGAUGCAAUCUCCCCGCGGAAAGACGGAAAGACCCCAUGAACCUUUACUGUAGCUUUGUAUUGGACUUUGAACAGAUCUGUGUAGGAUAGGUGGGAGGCUUUGAAGCAGGGUCGCUAGAUCUUGUGGAGCCAACGUUGAAAUACCACCCUGGUGUGUUUGAGGUUCUAACCUAGGUCCAUUAUCUGGAUCGGGGACCGUGCAUGGUAGGCAGUUUGACUGGGGCGGUCUCCUCCCAAAGCGUAACGGAGGAGUUCGAAGGUACGCUAGUUACGGUCGGACAUCGUGACGAUAGUGCAAUGGCAUAAGCGUGCUUAACUGCGAGACUGACAAGUCGAGCAGAUGCGAAAGCAGGACAUAGUGAUCCGGUGGUUCUGUAUGGAAGGGCCAUCGCUCAACGGAUAAAAGGUACUCUGGGGAUAACAGGCUGAUACCGCCCAAGAGUUCAUAUCGACGGCGGUGUUUGGCACCUCGAUGUCGGCUCAUCUCAUCCUGGGGCUGUAGCCGGUCCCAAGGGUAUGGCUGUUCGCCAUUUAAAGAGGUACGUGAGCUGGGUUUAAAACGUCGUGAGACAGUUUGGUCCCUAUCUUCCGUGGGCGCUGCAGAUUUGAGGAAGCCUGCUCCUAGUACGAGAGGACCGGAGUGGACACACCUCUGGUGUAUCGGUUGUCACGCCAGUGGCAUUGCCGAGUAGCUAUGUGUGGAAGAGAUAAACGCUGAAAGCAUCUAAGCGUGAAACUCGUUUCAAGAUGAGAUCUGCCGGGGCCUUGAGCCCCCUGAAGAGUCGUUCGAGACCAGGACGUUGAUAGGCAGGGUGUGGAAGCGCAGUAAUGCGUUAAGCUAACCUGUACUAAUUGCUCGUGAGGCUUGACCCC